rnacentral:rRNA from 1 species
ACUCAAAUGAAUUGACGGGGGCCCGCACAAGCGGUGGAGCAUGUGGUUUAAUUCGAUGCAACGCGAAGAACCUUACCUGGUCUUGACAUCCACAGAACUUUCCAGAGAUGGAUUGGUGCCUUCGGGAGCUGUGAGACAGGUGCUGCAUGGCUGUCGUCAGCUCGUGUUGUGAAAUGUUGGGUUAAGUCCCGCAACGAGCGCAACCCUUAUCCUUUGUUGCCAGCGGUCCGGCCGGGAACUCAAAGGAGACUGCCA